rnacentral:rRNA from 1 species
UGCCGCGUGAGUGAUGAAGGCCUUAGGGUCGUAAAGCUCUUUUACCCGGGAUGAUAAUGACAGUACCGGGAGAAUAAGCCCCGGCUAACUCCGUGC